rnacentral:snRNA from 1 species
ACAUGUGAGUGCAAUCUGACUGUGACAUCUGUCACCCAUUGAUCACCAGGUUUGAUUUGGCUGAUCUGGCUGGCUAGACGACUGUCUCCCUCCUCCAUCUCUGCUCCUUCCACAUUCUUCCUGAAACUGUGGGCUUGGUUGGAGAGGAUGACCUUCCCCACAGAAGGAGGAUGCUCCUUAGGUUAAGGGUAUACAAGUAGCUCUGCUCCCCUGCUGGGACCUCCAAACAAGCUCUCAAGGAAGUUGGCUUUUGGAAUGAUACAGUAAUAACUAACCAACCUCCCUGGCUUAUCACCCAAGCCAGUCCAG